rnacentral:rRNA from 1 species
UACGUAGGGUGCGAGCGUUGUCCGGAAUUAUUGGGCGUAAAGGGCGCGUAGGCGGCUUUGCAAGUGACGGGUGAAAUCCCUCGGCUUAACCGAGGAACUGCCUGUCAAACUGCAUGGCUUGAGACCGGGAGAGGUGAGUGGAAUUCCCAGUGUAGCGGUGAAAUGCGUAGAUAUUGGGAGGAACACCAGUGGCGAAGGCGGCUCACUGGACCGGUACUGACGCUGAUGCGCGAAAGCGUGGGGAGCAAACAGG